ACAACAGGGAUUGCCCUAGUAACGGCGAGUGAAGCGGCAACAGCUCAAAUUUGAAAUCUGGCUCUUUCAGGGUCCGAGUUGUAAUUUGUAGAGGGUGCUUUGGAGUUGACUGUGGUCUAAGUUCCUUGGAACAGGACGUCGCAGAGGGUGAGAAUCCCGUAUGUGGCCGCCAGUCUUCGCCGUGUAAAGCCCCUUCGACGAGUCGAGUUGUUUGGGAAUGCAGCUCUAAAUGGGAGGUAAAUUUCUUCUAAAGCUAAAUAUUGGCCAGAGACCGAUAGCGCACAAGUAGAGUGAUCGAAAGAUGAAAAGCACUUUGGAAAGAGAGUCAAAAAGCACGUGAAAUUGUUGAAAGGGAAGCGCUUGCAGCCAGACUUGCCUGUAGUUGCUCAUCCGGGCUUUUGCCCGGUGCACUCUUCUAUAGGCAGGCCAGCAUCAGUCCUGGCGGUCGGAUAAAUGCCUGCUGAAUGUACCUCUCCUUCGGGGAGGACUUAUAGCGGUGGGCGGCAUACGACCAGCCGGGGAUUGAGGUCCGCGCAUCUGCUAGGAUGCUGGCGUAAUGGCUGUAAGCGGCCCGUCUUGAAACACGGACCAAGGAGUCUAACAUCUAUGCGAGUGUGUUUGGGGUGUCAAGCCCGAGCGCGUAAUGAAAGUGAACGGGAGGGUGGGGAACCCCCUCGGGGCGCACCAUCGACCGAUCCUGAUGUCUUCGGAUGGAUUUGAGUAGAGCAUAGCUGUUGGGACCCGAAAGAUGGUGAACUAUGCCUGAAUAAGGUGAAGCCAGAGAAACUCUGGUGGAGCUCUCGCAGCGGUUCUGACGUGCAAAUCGAUCGUCAAAUUUGGGCAUAGGGGCGAAAGACUAAUCGACUAUCUAGUAGCUGUCCUCUGCCCGAGUUUCCCUCAGAUAGCAGUAACGUUUU
rnacentral:rRNA from 1 species